AUACGGAGGAUCCGAGCGUUAUCCGGAUUUAUUGGGUUUAAAGGGUGCGCAGGCGGCCGUUUAAGUCAGCGGUUAAAUCGUGGGGCUCAACCCCAUUCUGCCGUUGAUACUGGGUGGCUUGAUUGCGGUCGAGGUUGGCGGAAUUCGUUGUGUAGCGGUGAAAUGCAUAGAUAUGACGAAGAACACCGAUUGCGUAGGCAGCUGACCAGACCGCAAAUGACGCUCAUGCACGAAAGUGCGGGGAUCGAACAGGAUUAGAUACCCUGGUAGUCCGCACAGUAAACGAUGAAUACUUGUUUUCGGCGAUAUAAUGUCGGAGGCAAAGCGAAAGCGAUAAGUAUUCCACCUGGGGAGUACGCCGGCAACGGUGAAACUCAAAUGAAUUGACGGG
rnacentral:rRNA from 1 species